rnacentral:rRNA from 1 species
AUACGUAGGGGGCUAGCGUUAUCCGGAAUUACUGGGCGUAAAGGGUGCGUAGGUGGUUUCUUAAGUCAGAUGUGAAAGAUCAUGGCUUAACUGUGGUAAGCAUUUGAAACUGCAGGGCUUGAGUACAGGAGAGGAGAGUGGAAUUCCUAGUGUAGCGGUGAAAUGCGUAGAUAUUAGGAGGAAUACCAGUGGCGAAGGCGACUCUCUGGACUGAUACUGACGCUGAGGCACGAAAGCGUGGGGAGCAAACAGGAUUAGAUACCCUGGUAGUCCACGCUAUAAACGAUGAGUGCUAGGUGUCGGGGGUCAAACCUCGGUGCCGCAGUUAACACAUUAAGCACUCCGCCUGGGGAGUACGGCCGCAAGGCUGAAACUUAAAGGAAUUGGCGGGG